rnacentral:rRNA from 2 species
ACGGAAGGCAGCAGUGGGGAAUAUUGCACAAUGGGGGAAACCCUGAUGCAGCGACGCCGCGUGAGCGAAGAAGUAUUUCGGUAUGUAAAGCUCUAUCAGCAGGGAAGAAAAUGACGGUACCUGACUAAGAAGCCCCGGCUAACUACGUGCCAGCAGCCGCGGUAAUACGUAGGGGGCAAGCGUUAUCCGGAUUUACUGGGUGUAAAGGGAGCGUAGACGGCAAGGUAAGUCUGAAGUGAAAUGCCGGGGCUCAACCCCGGAACUGCUUUGGAAACUAUCUCGCUCGAGUACCGGGGGGGUAAGCGGAAUUCCUAGUGUAGCGGUGAAAUGCGUAGAUAUUAGGAGGAACACCAGUGGCGAAGGCGGCUUACUGGACGGUAACUGACGUUGAGGCUCGAAAGCGUGGGGAGCAAACAGGAUUAGAUACCCUGGUA